rnacentral:misc_RNA from 1 species
GGUGACCCAAUGCACAAAGCAUCCUGCACUUGUGGGCUUUGGGGAAGUUUGAUGUACGCAGGCUUAUCCUUGCGUUGCAGAGAGGCUGCUUCUGGCUUGAACCCUUGAACUCCAAGUCACAAAUGGAGUACAUUUACCAUUGCACUCUACGGUAGAAACUGGUAUGACAGAUGAAAAUACAUUGCUGCUUUUGAACUAACUAACCUUAGAAAGUCUGCUUCUCCACUUUAGGUCCCAGGCAUUUUAGAGACAUGCAAUUUACUUUUACCGUUUUUGCUUGAUGGCAUUGCUGCUACCAAUAAAGGUUAUGCAAUUUUUUAACUACCUAUGACAAAAAAUGUAUAUAUUUCUGUU